rnacentral:rRNA from 1 species
UAUAGCGUAUAUUAAAGUUGUUGCAGUUAAAAAGCUCGUAGUCGGAUGUCGGGCUCGGGCAGGCUGUCGGCUUCGGUCGGACGGCAGGCUCGGGUCUUUCUGCCUGAGGAACCCGUGGCACUUAACUGUGCGGCGUGGGGACGCAGGCCGUUUACUUUGAAAAAAUUAGAGUGUUCAAAGCAGGCCUACGCUUGAAUACAUUAGCAUGGAAUAAUGGAAUAGGACUUUGGUGCUAUUUUGUUGGUUUAUGGGACCGAAGUAAUGAUUAACAGGGACAGUUGGGGCCGUUUAUAUUUCGUUGUCAGAGGUGAAAUUCUCGGAUUUACGAAAGAUAAACUUCUGCGAAAGCAUUCGGCAAGGAUGUUUUCAUUGAUCAAGAACGAAAGUUAGGGGAUCGAAGACGAUCAGAUACCGUCGUAGUCUUAACCAUAAACUAUGCCGACUAGGGAUCAGUGGAUGUCAAUUUGCGACUCCAUUGGCACCUUGUGAGAAAUCAAAGUUUUUGGGUUCCGGGGGGAGUAUGGUCGCAAGGCUGAAACUUAAAGGAAU